rnacentral:rRNA from 1 species
CCCUUUGAUACUCUGGGCGGCACGCGCGCUACAAUGGAUAACUUAACGUGUUACAUGUCCGAAAGGAUGUAUGCAAAUCACAAAUGUUAUGUCUCGAGUGGGAUAGUUUACUGCAAUUAUAGACUUGAACUAGGAAUCCCUUGUAGGUACACUGAAGCAUAGUGUACCGAAUACGUCCCUGCCGUUUGUACACACCGCCCGUCGUUUCUUCCGACUGAUACUCAUUGUGAAUUACGGGGAUAACGUUGUUGAAAACCGUUGUAAAUGCUGGGUAUUGGAGGAAGAAAAAGUCGUAACA